GGGACGCAGUCAUCUCCCUCCUCUACCAUUUACCAAAAGGGGUUUUCCUUUAAUUCUGUAAUGGAACAGUUUGAAUUGGAAGUUGGCUAUUUCCUAAAACAAAAUCUAGAUCCAGAACGAAGCUGGGGCAGACACAGCACUCAACCAAACUGGCAUUCCUGAAGGAGAGGCCCUGCAGGAAGGCUGCGGGGAUGUUUCUCGCAGUGACAUUACCGGACGAGUCUUCAGAGGGACGAGGGACGAGGGACCUCCGUCUGCCGCAUGGGACAGGCCAAGCCCAGGUGCGGUUCUGUCACUGGGCCUGUGACACAGGGCAGCUCGGCACCAGCUGGCACCACCUUCAGGCGUUUUGUCUUCCUCUCUGCACUCCAAGCCAAGAACUGGUUUAGUCCCUUCUGUGCCCAGCAGAGCAGAAAAUUCUGGAAAUGCUUGUGGAGGUCGAUGAACUAGGCAGCCUCAUCAAUGUAACAUGGUGUAUGAGUUGCCGAAAGUUGAAGAGGAGGAGGUGGUGGAAAUUAACCAGCUGUAAAAACUGCUGGGAUGAAAUGUCACUGGGAAGGAAAGACAUCCGCAGGGACCCGUGGGCUUCCCAGUAAUUGGCUGAAGGACCACCUGCUGUUUGGAUCGGCUAUUCUGAGGCUCCCCUCUCUCCAGAGGCUCCGUGAUGAGAGUACCGAUCGCUGUGCCUCGUUAGGCGACAGGGACUGGAGCUUGUCUCUUUCCAGUUACACGGUUGAACCCAGAAUCUGCCAAGGAAAGGAAGCUGGAGGAUGGAAAGGCUGAAGGACAGAAAAACAAACUCUAGGAUUGGAGAUGUAAGCCCACCAUCCCCUGCCUUCCUGCAACACAGACACAGACACACACGCUCUCUGUCCCUCCUGGCUCAGCCCUGCUCUGAGACUUGCUCAGGGCCCCAGUUGGGAGUGGGGAGACAGCAAGCCCCUGUGGGUGAUACCCACGCAUACAUUGAGCUGAACUUGGCCCCACUAGGUGCAAACACUCCGCGGCGGGUAGCAGAGCUGAUUUCUGCCUCACUGCCAGCACCCGGGGGCUUGACCUCCCUUUCUGAGUGAAUGUGGUGGCAGGCAGCCAGGGCACUGACCUCCAACUCUCACCUCAGUGCUUCAGUGUUCAGCUGGCAGGCAGACCAUGGGUCCUGAGUCAUGA